rnacentral:lncRNA from 1 species
CAGGGUCCCCUUCCCCGGCACCCAUGCGCCGGGCCCAGAGCUCCCUCUGCCUGCGGGAUGAGACCUUGGCAGGCGGGCAGCGGCGGAAACUCAGCUCAAGGUUCCCGGUGGGGCGAAGCUCUGAGUCAUUCAGCCCUGGGGACACCCCUAGGCAACGAUUCCGACAGCGCCAUCCAGGCCCCCUGGGGGCGCCCGUCUCCCACAGCAAAGGACCUGGUGUGGGAUGGGAGAACUCCGCUGAGACCCUGCAGGAACACGAAACAGAUGCCAACCGAGAGGGCCCCGAGGCACAGGAACCGGAGAAACGUCCCCUCACCCCAUCCCUCAGCCAGUGACACCGUGGGAACAGCAGGCUUGGGAGUGCAGCCUUCUCGGCACUGGAGUGUCAGCGGAGGCCCCAGGCAGCCCAAGAGCUCAGGGAGCCAGGGACCCCAAGGGGAGUCCUUGGACAAGGAGGCCUGGGCCCUGAGAUCCUCCACGGUCAGCGCCGGGGCCCGGAGAUGGAGCUGGGACGAGUGUGUGGACAGGGGGGAUGGCUGGCCCCCACGAGCAGCUCCAGGCCGGAGUUCUGGUUCUUCCAGGUGGCUCCCGCUGAGGCAGCGGUCUCUGGGGGAUCCCCCAGCUGAAGGAGGCUGGCAGGAGUCGGCAAGAGAACCCCGUGCCCUGUCCAGGUGGGGAGCUGAGUCCCAGUGCUGGGGGACUGUGGCCUGGGCUGAUCUUGAGCCUUAACUGGACAUGAGGGGCAUGAGAAUAAAGCUGAACUGCAGCCUCCUGAGUCUUGCUCUGUCUGUUGGCCGCAUUGGGUACCUCAGGGCACCAGGACACAUGCCGCCCCAGUCCUCCUGGUUGGUGGGGGUCUGUGGGCAGAGGGCCCCUGCCUGGACAGGGCAGCACAGGCCUUUCUCCAGGGGCUUGGCCAGUCCGGCCGGCCAAAGCCCGGAUGUCCUGGUGAGGUGGAGAGGGGAUGACAUCCUGGGUAGCCAGCAGGGAUUGGGGUCUAAGAUCUGGGCUCAGGGGUGUGGGGCAGUGAAGCCCCU